rnacentral:rRNA from 1 species
AUGCACGCUGGCGGCGUGCCUAAUACACGCAAGUCGAGCGAACAGACGAGGAGCUUGCUCCUCUGACGUUAGCGGCGGACGGGUGAGUAACACGUGGAUAACCUACCUAUAAGACUGGGAUAACUUCGGGAAACCGGAGCUAAUACCGGAUAAUAUAUUGAACCGCAUGGUUCAAUAGUGAAAGACGGUUUUGCUGUCACUUAUAGAUGGAUCCGCGCCGCAUUAGCUAGUUGGUAAGGUAACGGCUUACCAAGGCAACGAUGCGUAGCCGACCUGAGAGGGUGAUCGGCCACACUGGAACUGAGACACGGUCCAGACUCCUACGGGAGGCAGCAGUAGGGAAUCUUCCGCAAUGGGCGAAAGCCUGACGGAGCAACGCCGCGUGAGUGAUGAAGGUCUUCGGAUCGUAAAACUCUGUUAUUAGGGAAGGACAAAUGUGUAAGUAACUAUGCACGUCUUGACGGUACCUAAUCAGAAAGCCACGGCUAACUACGUG